AACGAACGUUAGCGGCGCGCCUAACACAUGCAAGUCGCACGAGAAAGGGCUUCGGCCCCGGUAAAGUGGCGCACGGGUGAGUAACACGUGGGUAACCUGCCCUCGAGCGGGGGAUAACAUUCCGAAAGGAGUGCUAAUACCGCAUAAGACCACGACCUCGAAAGAGGAUGGGGUCAAAGCUGGCCUCUAUACAUAAGCUAGCACUUGAGGAUGGGGCCCCGCGGCGCAUCAGGUAGUUGGUGAGGUAACGGCCCACCAAGCCGACGAUCAGUAGCUGGUCUGAGAGGAUGAUCAGCCACAUUGGGACUGAGACACGGCCCAGACUCCUACGGGGAGGCAGCAGUGAGGAAUAUUGCGCAAUGGACGGAAGUCUGACGCAGCAAUGCCGCGUGCGGGAUGAAGGCGCUAUGC
rnacentral:rRNA from 1 species